rnacentral:rRNA from 1 species
UCGCUUGUUGGUGAGGUAUGGCUCACCAAGGCGACGACGGGUAGCCGGCCUGAGAGGGCGACCGGCCACACUGGGACUGAGACACGGCCCAGACUCCUACGGGAGGCAGCAGUGGGGAAUAUUGCACAAUGGGCGAAAGCCUGAUGCAGCGACGCCGCGUGAGGGAUGACGGCCUUCGGGUUGUAAACCUCUUUCAGCAGGGAAGAAGCGAAAGUGACGGUACCUGCAGAAGAAGCGCCGGCUAACUACGUGCCAGCAGCCGCGGUAAUACGUAGGGCGCAAGCGUUGUCCGGAAUUAUUGGGCGUAAAGAGCUCGUAGGCGGCUUGUCGCGUCGGUUGUGAAAGCCCGGGGCUUAACCCCGGGUCUGCAGUCGAUACGGGCAGGCUAGAGUUCGGUAGGGGAGAUCGGAAUUCCUGGUGUAGCGGUGAAAUGCGCAGAUAUCANGAGGAACACCGGUGGCGAAGGCGGAUCUCUGGGCCGAUACUGACGCUGAGGAGCGAAAGCGUGGGGAGCGAACA